rnacentral:rRNA from 1 species
UACGUAGGGGGCGAGCGUUGUCCGGAAUUACUGGGCGUAAAGGGCGUGUAGGCGGCCUGAUAAGUCAGGUGUGAAAUUCCAAGGCUUAACCUUGGAGCUGCACUUGAAACUGUUGGGCUUGAGGGCAGGAGAGGGAAGCGGAAUUCCCAGUGUAGCGGUGAAAUGCGUAGAUAUUGGGAGGAACACCAGUGGCGAAGGCGGCUUCCUGGACUGCACCUGACGCUGAGGCGCGAAAGCUAGGGGAGCGAACGGG